rnacentral:pre_miRNA from 1 species
GUACUACUCCCUCCGUUCCGAAUUACUUGUCGUAGGUAUGGAUGUAUCUAGAUGUAUUUUAGUUUUAGAUAUAUCCAUUUCUGCGACGAGUAAUUUAGAAUUGAGGGAGUACUUG